UAGAGGGACAGAAGUUGCUCCUUCUCCAGGAACAUGGAACUGGGCCUGAGGAGAAGGGAAGCCAUUUCCUCAAUCCCAGUCCUGAGCACCAGCACCUAGAGCAGCACCAGGAAGGCUCCUGGGAGCCCGAGCACAGGACAGACUGAUGAAGCAGGCAAGAGCCAAGCAGAUGGAGUCAGCCAGUGGAAUGGAGCCUCCCUCCGGGCAGGUCAGUGGGCUCCUGUGCAGCCUGGGUCUUCUCCCCUCAAGCUCUGUAUAGACACCCUUGCUUUAUCCUCACCCAAGGCAGGUGCCUUCUCUCCCAGGGGUCUGAAGGCUGUGUUUCCCAGAGGCUGAGCAGAGUUCCCUCUGUGCAGAGGGGCCCUGGCUCUAACUUAUUUGUCCCCUGUCCCCUCCCUGCGUCUCCCCUCUGUCCUUCUCUCCCAACCCUCUCUGUCUGUGUUUCCACCUCCUGGUUGCUCCCACAGAGCUCUCCAGAAGACAGGCUGCCCUCUAAGUAGACACUAGCCAGGAGGGCCCUGCUGACUCUACUGCUUUCAGGCCUGCUCCUUGGCUCCUCUGUGGUUUGGUUCUACAUCUUUGCAAACUGCAGUCCUUGUAAGCAAGACUCCAGAACCCCACCUAGACAGCAUCUCUGUCGCGGUCCCAGGUCCAUGUGUCUGAGGCUCCUGGCUCACUAGCUGCUCAUCCUCGCAUUCCCCAGGGAUUCUGAAGUUCUUCUGCCCUGAAUCUUGUGCCAGGACACCAGUCAGACCUGUGCUGUCCCAGCUAGUCGCUCCUUCAUUUCGAAUCAGGCAUUUCUUUGCCAGAUCUUUUGGGGAGCUCUUGCCCCUUUUGCUCCUUUCUCCUAGCUCAAAGUUGCUAUCCUCAGCCUCGAGUGAGACUCCUGCAUGUUUGGACCUCCUGGAUCCAGGCUGUAUCCUGGCCUCCGGAACAGCAGAGUGGCCCCUGCACAGACUUCUUCAGCUUCUUCUGGGGAGAAAGCAUAGGGACAGUAGGUCUUAUGCAGCUCCUGAUAGAGAAAGCUAAAGCCAGUGACAAGGACUCCUGGGUAGGAAAGCAGGCUAGCAGAUUGUUGGGCAAGUUGGGAAGUGAUCUAGCAGCACGAAGACUCCCCUACACUCUGUAUACCGGGGGUGCAGCUGCUGUGCAUCAUCCUCAGUGGAGCCCUCUAGCUUUGCUUUCCAUCAGUUCACUGUAGCAUCAGAAACCUUUCUUCCAUCUCUUCCAAUACUUCUGGGCCUAUUUUUAAUGUAAUCCCCACGUUCUUUCCUUUUUUCACAUAUCCAUUCCUCCAUUCUCUUCAACUUCUCCCUUUAUACAAGUCUCAGCUUUGUUAUUUCCUCUGAAUUUUCAGUCUCUAUCUUCUACUCCACCUGUAUUUCUUCAACACAGCCUGCGCUUGCAUUCUUUCCUGAAGGUUUGAAGGUUUGGUGAAGGUUCUGGAACAAGAAUGCGUGCGAUAGGCAAGCCCUUCCAUUGCAGGGAAACCUAGACUAUGUGUUGACAGCAUAAAUUGGAAUUUGCUUCCCUUUUCAUAGGAAAAGAAGAAAAGGUAGGCUCUCUCUGGGGUGAGGGCUAGUUUCAUUUAAGACUCAGUGAUGUAAAGAAAAACAUAUUCAGGAAACAUUCUAUUUUUCACAGUUGUAUGACGUAUAAAAUCAGGAGAAUUGAGGGGAUAGUGUUAGACAAUAGAAGAUGAAUGAUUUGUGUGUUUUAAGGAUAUUGUAAUAGUUUGAUUUUUUUUCCUUGAGUUUAAGAGAUAAAGAGAGUUUAUACUAAAUGAAUCCUCUCAUUUUUUCACUCUUAUAAACUUACCCAUAUGAAUUUAUUUCCUUGAAAUCCCCCAAAGUCCUCUGGUUUCAUAUAUUUUUGUAUAUCUCAAUCAUAUCUCACCCGUUCUUCCCUUUAUCUUUCUUUCUUAUCUUUUCCUGCUUGCUUUUCUCUCCACAUUUCCUUUGUUUUCCUUCUUAACACUUUGCCUGCAUCUCCUUUCUCUGCUCUUAUCUGUCCAAGCUGCUCCAUUGAAAAUUAAGUUCUCCAGCUUACCUCAACUUGACUCCUUCCCUUCCUUCUGUAUCUCUUUGGGGAGUGCCCCUUCUUUCCUAUUGCCUCUGUGUCUCCCACUUUUUCUGUCUGUCUUUAUGCCAGCCAAAACACUUUCAUUCCUUUAUGUCUUCUUUUGAGGCCCCAGGAAACUGGCACCCUGACUGUGGGGAGGAAAAGCCUUCUGAUCCUAUAGCUCAUGCAUGGACACAGAUGUCAUUGAAGGUGUUUGAAAUGGUCCCCUCAGGGAUGUUCUGCAGAAUCACGUGGUGUUGGCUGUGAUGGAGACUCUUAUUCCAGCCCUGGAUGGUGAAUUGCUCGUGACUCAGAGACCAGAGCCAGAAACUGCAGGAGCUGACAGAGCAACCACUCAUGGUUCCAUUGCCUUCUCACAUUGAGGUUACACAGCUCCAGCUAACACACUGCAGAGUCUGAACCUUUAUUGCAAGCAGAGAUAGGAGCAGAAGUUAUGGGGUAUAGCAUGGAACCCUCAAAAUGGACAGCCAGCUCUGGAGCAGUCUCCAAAAUGAUGAACUCCACAAUGAGCUGGACCAAGAGUUUCCUCGUCACCCAAUACCUCAAGGGCUCAGUUUUCCUUUUCCUCUGGUGGAAUACGCUAUGGCCCCUGCCCUAAAGACCAGCCCCACCAUGAUGAGAGCGGCAGUAGCAGUCUUCCUAUCUGCAAGUAGGUCUUUGCACAGCAAACAAGUCGCUGUACAGGAAUAAAGUUUCGUAGCUUCA